AUCCCAUGAUGAGGGCACUUACUUCUUUGAAUCUCUCCCAUGCCUCGUACGAGGAUUCGUCAUCCAAUUAUGGAAAAGUGGUUAUCUCAUUUCGCAAGUU
rnacentral:snoRNA from 1 species